UACGUAGGGGGCAAGCGUUGUCCGGAAUCAUUGGGCGUAAAGCGCGCGUAGGCGGCCCGGUAAGUCCGUUGUGAAAGUCAGAGGCUCAACCUCUGGAGGCCAAUGGAUACUGCCAGGCUAGAGUCCGGAAGAGGCGAGUGGAAUUCCUGGUGUAGCGGUGGAAUGCGCAGAUAUCAGGAGGAACACCAAUGGCGAAGGCAGCUCGCUGGGACGGUACUGACGCUGAGGUGCGAAAGCGUGGGGAGCGAACAGG
rnacentral:rRNA from 2 species